UACGGGGGGGGGCAAGCGUUGUUCGGAAUUACUGGGCGUAAAGGGCUCGUAGGCGGCCAACUAAGUCAGACGUGAAAUCCCCAGGCUCAACCUGGGAACUGCGUCUGAUACUGGAUGGCUUGAAUUCGGGAGAGGGAUGCAGAAUUCCAGGUGUAGCGGUGAAAUGCGUAGAUAUCUGGAGGAACACCGGUGGCGAAGGCGGCAUUCUGGACCGAAACUGACGCUGAGGCGCGAAAGCCAGGGGAGCAAACGGG
rnacentral:rRNA from 1 species